CCUACGGGGGGCAGCAGUGAGGAAUAUUGGUCAAUGGCCGAAAGUCUGAACCAGCCAAGUCGCGUGAGGGAUGACUGCCCUAUGGGUUGUAAACCUCUUUUAUAAGGGAAUAAAAAAUGCUACGUGUGGCAUGAUGUCUGUACCUUAUGAAUAAGGAUCGGCUAACUCCGUGCCAGCAGCCGCGGUAAUACGGAGGAUCCGAGCGUUAUCCGGAUUUAUUGGGUUUAAAGGGUGCGUAGGUGGAUUUUUAAGUUAGUUGUGAAAGCUUGGGGCUCAACCCUAGAAUUGCAAUUGAAACUGUGAGACUUGAGUACAGACGAGGUAGGCGGAAUACGUGAUGUAGCGGUGAAAUGCUUAGAUAUAACGAAGAACUCCGAUAGCGAAGGCAGCUUACUAGACUGCAACUGACGCUGAGGCACGAAAGCGUGGGUAGCAAACAGGAUUAGAUACCCUUGUAGUC
rnacentral:rRNA from 1 species